AGGCCAUAGAGUUUUGCCUGAACUUGCUUGCGCUUGCCCUCCUUGCCACGGGAGCUGCCUGCCCUGGCUCCUCAUGGACAAAUAGGGAAGAAUCUAUUCUGUCACAGCUGGAGGAAUGUGCCCUGCGCUCCUGGGACCACAGACACCCAAACAAGGUGUCCAGGAGCCACCAGGAGCACCUCACCUUGCUCCUCUGCACCAACACCUGUUGAUAUUUUCCACCAGCUACAGCAGCCACGCACACAGCUUCCAAAUCUACCCAAACUCCACAGCGGUGUAAAAAUGUGACAUGGGAAAUUCCAGAAACGAGCAAGCCAUACGUUGUAAGGCAUGUGCUGUUCUGAAGAGGGUGAUGAAAUCCUGUGUCACCCUGUUCAGCCUGUCAGGGCUCUGAGUCAUCCUCUGAUUGCCACAUGGUAUCCACAUGGGUCUCCUGGAAGAGCGGGCGCUCAUGAUGAUGCUUACAGCUUCCAAUCUAUCAGGGCGUCUAAGAAGCUCGGAAGGUCCUGUUCACACAACAGCAGAGAGGCCCGGCACACUGAAAAUUCAUGGCUUCAGCUAAUCAAAGAACUGAGGUCAUAAGACAAAACACUACCCCACUCCUGAAGUUAGAGAGUCAGCUAGGAAGACAAAGAGAACUCCAAGUUAUGGGAGCAGAAACCCAAGACCAGCAGUCUCCAUGGUAACGAUUGCUGGGUUUCUUUGACCCAGUACAGUAUGCUUGGCUUUCAACAAAAAGUACAAGGUGAGCUAAGAGACACAGAAGGAAGGCUGGGGAGGUGGAUGGAGCUUUGUAAUUGAUUUAGAUGCAGCUCCGUUGAACAGAGUAAAAGGAGUCGGGGGUGGAGGGGGGGCAGCCUGUGCACGUUAGCUUGCAGGAGUCAGCACUGGCUGUGAGAGCAAGCCUGCGCAGGCUGUGGGAGUGAUGGAGAUGGAGUGCAGCUGUGUGGCAAUGCACCUCGGGGAAGCCUCUCUCCCUGCUUCAAAUAGGAUCCCCUCCUUCUCUGUCCUCACACAAGUCCUGAAGCUGGCCAAAGUGUGGCUCAUACAAAUGUCUAGAUUAAUGAGGAUGCCAACAGGGAUGUAACUCAGGGUACUGGGCCUGCCUUGGGCUGAAGUCCGGCUUUUGAGUUGGAGUGGGCAGGGAGAAGUGGUAUUCGCCUCAAAAGCAGUGAUGUGUUGCUUUAUGGAACAAGAUCAGCGCUGAUCAUUGUUUGUGCUUCCUUCCUUCAUCCUGUCAUUCAGCACUGACCUCUGGUCAUGAUGACUCAUCAGCCCUCUGAGCAGCUGUGAGGAGAGUUACCUCCAACACAGACAAUGGAGGGAAGCUGGUAUGUGGGCUGAGAUGGGAGAACAGACAGGAUCAUGGGGGAGUGGAGGAGGGGCUGAAGGUCCUGCAAGAAUCAGCAAGGACAGGCUUGCAGGAAACCCAUUCUCUUCUUUUGGAGGGGAAGUUGCUUUUUUAGACCUGACCCAACUGUGCCAACGUCACCUGUGACCACAGGGAUAGCAGGUACAUGCCAAUGAGAUAGCAGACCCCGGCACAGUGAGGGAUACCACCAGGCAUGGUGACAAUAUUGACUGUCAACAUGGCAGGGUCUAGAAUCACCCUGAAGACAAGCCUCUCUGGAUAUUUGGAGUUUCUAGAUUACGUUCAUUAGUGUGAGAAGACCCACCUGAAUGUGAACGGAUAGGCUGGUUUCCGGACCGAAGAAAACAAAGACCAGACUCCUCUCUCUGCCUCUGGAUUGCAGGUGCAGUGUGACCAGCUGCCUCACACCUCUGGUGUCAUGGCUUCCAAAUAUGAUGGACUGUACCUUCUGUUUACAAGACCUAAUAAAGUCUUCUUUCC
ensembl:lincRNA 1600002D24Rik RIKEN cDNA 1600002D24 gene